rnacentral:lncRNA from 1 species
CGGGUAGAGACAGGAUGUAAGCAGGAAGAAACAGGAACUCACUCUCUUAUCUGCUGAGAAGCCAAGGAGGUAAAGUGUGGCUAUGGCUUGCUCCUUCUUCUCUCUGAUCUCUCAGCAUUUUCCUCUAUAUCUGACUCUGGGUUUUAUUAAAUAAUAAAUAGACCAAUUAAAAACUCCUUUUACAGAGGACAGAAGGGUGUGGCUCAUUUAGGAUGAAAUGUUUUCCUGUUACCAUCAAGACUGCACACAAGCAACCUUGUUGUACGCCACUGUUUUUGCAAGUGCUAAUCCUAAAAUCUGCAAGAAGCACCGUCAGAAGCCCUGUACCUCAUGAGGCAGCAGGAACACUUCCUAUGCCUCAGCCUUUCCUUCCAAGCCCCUGAGAUUCAAGGCCAGUUCUUGGUGGCUCAGAUUUUUAAGCUGCUACUAAAGAAAGGAGUGAGCCCUUUCUUCCUCCUUUCUCCUUCUUGUUGGCUGGAUAUCAGGAGGAUUAAAUACCAGAAGACUUCAGAAGCCUGCGUGGGAAUAGUCAACAUAGGCCAGAUGGACCCUAAAACGCCUUUCGGACACGGAGCCCUGCUCAGUGAAAACACUGGCAUACAAAGCCUUGCCUGACUCCCAGGAGCCCAUACCCAGGCUUGCACCUCUCCUCACUCUUUGCCUCUUUUCUUUCCCAGAGGCCACCUCACAGAUGCUCCCAUUUCUGUGAGAAAGGGAAUGUUCCCUACAGUGCCUUGUCUGCAGAAGACCCUGAAGGGCUGCAGCUCCACAAGGACCCCAUAUUCUUGGUUACUCCUGGCUAGAAGGCACACCUGGCACCCUGAACACUCGACUCUCUUCCGCUAUCUACACUAACAGCAAGAUUGGUUGGCCUGAAAUGUCCCUAACCUGGAUCCCCACUUUGCAAGUCAACAGGUCACCAGCCUCCUGCGUCAUCAAUCAUUUUCUCCUCAAGACAGAAGAAGCUUGUCUCCUGCCCUGAGGAGAUCUAUCAAGACUCACAUACCAUCUUCUCUAUCUUAUUCACUUCUGAAUAAAUCUCUUGCCUCAACCA